UCUGACCCCCUUCUCUGGCUGGGCGUGAGAGGGUCCGAAUUCCUCAAAGAUGGAAGCGGCGGCUGAGGGAAGGGUGUCUGCGCGGCGACCAUGGGGCGUCCUCCUCAGACAGCUCGUGCGUGGUGUGGAAGGAGCCCCUCGUCCUCCUCGCCCUUUCUGCCCGGGCCUGUAGGGAGCGGCGCUUUCAGAGAGACCGCUCUGGUUUCCUCGCCAAGCCUCGAGUAUCCAGGCUUUGUUUAGGUCCAAAGGGGCCUCCAUUUUCCGUCUUGCAAGUAACCCUGCAGCUUUAGUGAGUAGUUCUGGGCUCACUAUUUCCGGUCUUGUCAGAAGAUGGCUUCGCUUUCAGUGGGCUGGCUCAAGUGCCUUGACUUUGUCACCGAUGCAUAAAGUUUUUGAGCUGCGUCUGUCAUUUUUCUGUGUUGACUGUGUUUUCUUAUAUUGGAAACUUUCCUGACCGAGGGUUGGGUGGGGACCUCGAGUAAAACCACCCAUCUGCCUAGUUGGAGAGAGCCUGCCUCUGGGCUGAGCUAAGGAUGGCAGCAUCCCCCAGGGCCCUCCCAGCCUUGGCUGGCCAGGCUUCCGAGGAACCAGGGGAGAUUAUCCAAGUAAAGGUUAAAGAAGAAGGCUAUAUUUGGGACCGGGAAUCCCAGGCUCCAGGAGGCGCUGGGCCAACUCCGGGAACUUUGCCAUCGGUGGUUGAGCCCAGAGAGACACACCAAGGAGCAGAGCCUGGAAUUGGUGCUGGAACAGCUGCUGACCUUCCUGCCUGAGGAGCUCCAGGCUUGGCUCCGGAGCAUCAUCCUGAAAGUGGAGAGGAGGUGGUGACUGUGCUGGAAGAUUUGGAGAGAGACAGCUUGACGAACCUAGACAGCAGGUGUUAACCAGCAUCAGGACAUCCAUGGCUUCCCUCAUCAAAUUAUACGUAGGAAAUGUUUCCCCAGACGUGCUCUUCUGACUGAACCUGGUAACUAAACUCUGCUUCUCCUACAAGAAUGGAUGACUCUGGAGGACUGAACCAAGAGGCGCUCUCCAAAUGGACUCUGACUGCAGCAGAGCAUCCUGGACAUUCAUUCAGCAUGGCAGCUGGGUGCUGGAAGAGAGAAUUCCAAGAGGACCAGCCCCGAAACACAGACUCUUACAGCACAUAACUGCAGGCUAAUCGUG